AGGCCAUGCAUGUCUAAGUAUAGCAUCUAUACCGUGAAACUGCGAAUGGCUCAUUAAAUCAGUAUCGUUUAUUUGAUAGUACCUUACUACUUGGAUACCCGUGGUAAUUCUAGAGCUAAUACAUGCUAAAAACCCCAACUUCGGGAGGGGUGUGUUUAUUAGAUAAAAAACCAACGCCCUUUCGGGGCUCUUUGGUGAUUCAUGAUAACUUCUCAGAUCGCACGGCCUUGCGCCGGCGACGGUUCAUUCAAAUUUCUGCCCUAUCAACUUUCGAUGGUAAGGUAUUGGCUUACCAUGGUUUCAACGGGUAACGGGGAAUUAGGGUUCGAUUCCGGAGAGCGAGCCUGAGAAACGGCUAGCACAUCCAAGGAAGGCAGCAGGCGCGCAAAUUACCCAAUCCCGACACGGGGAGGUAGUGACAAUAAAUACUGAUACAGGGCUCUUUUGGGUCUUGUAAUUGGAAUGAGUACAAUUUAAACCUCUUAACGAGGAACAAUUGGAGGGCAAGUCUGGUGCCAGCAGCCGCGGUAAUUCCAGCUCCAAUAGCGUAUAUUAAAGUUGUUGCAGUUAAAAAGCUCGUAGUUGACCAUUUGGCCUGGCUGGCAGGUCCGCCUCACCGCGUGCACUUGUCCGGCCGGGCCUUUCUUUCUGGAGAACCGCAUGCCCUUCACUGGGCGUGUUGGGGACCAGGACUUUUACUUUGAAAAAAUUAGAGUGUUCAAAGCAGGCCUUUGCUCGAAUACGUUAGCAUGGAAUAAUAGAAUAGGACGCGCGGUCCUAUUUUGUUGGUUUCUAGGACCGCCGUAAUGAUUAAUAGGGACAGUCGGGGGCAUCAGUAUUCAAUUGUCAGAGGUGAAAUUCUUGGAUUUAUUGAAGACUAACUACUGCGAAAGCAUUUGUCAAGGAUGUUUUCAUUAAUCAGUGAACGAAAGUUAGGGGAUCGAAGACGAUCAGAUACCGUCGUAGUCUUAACCAUAAACUAUGCCGACUAGGGAUCGGGCGGUGUUAUUUAUUUGACCCGCUCGGCACCUUGCGAGAAAUCAAAG
rnacentral:rRNA from 1 species